rnacentral:lncRNA from 1 species
GAGCCGGAGGGGCUGCACUGCACCGAGCUUGCACAGGGCGAGGCGGGGGCAGGACCUGGGACCCAGCCACCCCGGAGGAAACCGGAGAGGAAACCAGCUUGGUCUUGCUCUCUGCCUCGUCCCAAUCCCCGGCUCUUACCAAAUGCAGAUCCGUUGGCUGAAUGCCUUUUAGUCUGCAUACAUGCAUCUCAUACCGCACAGCCCAAAUUUCUACAACUUGUCCAGGUGCAGUCUCCUCAGAACUACAAAGCAAGAAAAGAUCACCUUUGGGCUCAGGAACUCACAGUCGUUCUCCCUCUCCCGGAAGGCACAAUGACCAGGACAGUACCGAGCUUUACAGCCAUAUUGAACUCACCAUCAACUCAGCACAUUCAACUCAAUCAGUCAAAAUCGUCUUUUCCUGCUGGUAAAUAACACUGAAAUACAAGGAAGCUGAGCCUUCACAAGGUCGAACAACACAUUUGAUGCCAUGCAACUGAGAAGUGGUUCAAGCUGGAUUUGAACAAAUGUAGUCAGACUCUGCAGCCUAUGCAUGUACCCACUGUGCUAUGCUGUCGCAUUGAAUAAAAUGCAGUGCCCUCAAUACGAAGUCAAUGUGAGCACAUACCAAGAAUCAUAUUGGGAAGGAGAAGUCCUCAGUAGGCAAAACACUUUCCAGCAAUGUUAACCUGGAUGUGGAUAGAAAGGAGACUUGGGAAUUUCUCUGACUUAAUUCAUCUCUGGGUCCAUUUGAAGCACAGCAGAAGAGAGGGGAAGAGGUGCUAGGAGUGGUGGGCUCUGAGGUUCAAGCCCCGCCAAUGGCCAGGCCUAAUAAAGAUCUAGACCUCCUUGCAGAAUGAGGCUUUCUCCAAAACCCUUCAGCUGUGGUUUGGUGGAAGAGGCCUCACUACAUCUAGCUAAUUUUGUUCAUUCAUUCAUUCAUUCACUCAUUUAUUCAACCAGACUUCAUGGACACUUCUCCAUGUCAGGGCCUGGGCGUUGUGUCAGGGUUGCAAGGAUGAGUCAGGGAUUAUCCGUCAUCUCCCGGAAUUCAUGAGCACAUGGGGAAGACAGCUUGGAGAAAAUCACAGUAAUAGGGGAAAAUAAGGGCUGAGAAAAAAGUCCAUGCACUGCAGCGGACAGGACAGCAGAUCAGCUCCUGUGGGUUAAAAGUGGGCUGUGGGCUGGGUGCGGUGGCUCACACCUGUAAUCUCAGCACUUUCGGAGACUGACGUGGGCAGAUCACGAGGUCAAGAGAUCGAGAACAUCCUGGCCAACAUGGUGAAACCCCGUCUCUACUAAAAAUACAAAUAUUAGCUGGCCGUGUUGGCAUGCACCUGUAGUCCCAGCUACUAGGGAGACUGAGGCAAGAGAAUGGCUUGAGCCUGUGAGGCGGAGGUUGCAGUGAGCCGAGAUCACAGCACUGCACUCUAGCCUUGUGACAGAGUCUCAAAAAAAAAAAUAAAAACAAAAAAGGUG